GACAGUACUGACGCUGAGAUGCGAAAGCGUGGGGAGCAAACAGGAUAGAUACCUGGUAGUCACGCUGUAAACGAUGUCGAUUUGGAGUUUGUUGCCUAGAGUGAUGGGCUCCGAAGCUAACGCGAUAAAUCGACCGCUGGGGAGUACGGCCGCAAGGUUAAAACUCAAAUGAAUUGACGGGGGCCCGCACAGCGGUGGAGCAUGUGGUUUAAUUCGAUGCAACGCGAAGAACCUUACCUGGUCUUGACAUCCAUAGAAUUCUGCAGAGAUGUGGGAGUGCCUUCGGGAACUAUGAGACAGGUGCUGCAUGGCUGUCGUCAGCUCGUGUUGUGAAAUGUUGGGUUAAGUCCCGCAACGAGCGCAACCCUUAUUCUUUGUUGCCAGCGAUUUGGUCGGGAACUCAAAGGAGACUGCCGUUGAUAAAGCGGAGGAAGGUGGGGACGACGUCAAGUCAUCAUGGCCCUUACGACCAGGGCUACACACGUGCUACAAUGGCGUAUACAAAGGGAAGCGAAGGUGCGAGCUGGAGCGGAUCUCAUAAAGUACGUCUAAGUUCGGAUUGGAGUCUGCAACUCGACUCCAUGAAGUCGGAAUCGCUAGUAAUCGUAGAUCAGAAUGCUACGGUGAAUACGUUCCCGGGCCUUGUACACACCGCCCGUCACACCAUGGGAGUGGGUUGCACCAGAAGUAGAUAGCUUAACCGCGAGGGGGGCGUUUACCACGGUGUGAUUCAUGACUGGGGUGAAGUCGUAACAAGGUAACCA
rnacentral:rRNA from 1 species